AGCUCCACAAAAAACAAUUUCUCAUAUAAGAUGGAAUCCUCCAAAAUUAUACCCUCUCUCACACAUUUUCCCUCUAUUGUAUCUCUUCUCUUUCUCUCUCUUGCUGCACUACUGACUUUCUUUUAAGAUUCAUGUCGCAGUGUCGAUCCAGCGGACAUGAGGAAACUGUAAUGAAAUACAAGGUUGCAAGCAAAGUGGAUCCAGCAAAAACCAUCAGAAUCAAGAAUGAAGUUUAAAAUGCAACAUCAUGCAAUUAAAACUCAACAAAAACAGUACUACCAAAGAAGGAAGAAGGAGAUAACGAAUUUCUAUCCUUGAUGUAAGUGUAAAGAGAGUUUUUCAGAGUUAGUUGUACUGAGUACUUAGUGUCAUACCCCUUUUUAACCCGGGUUAAAGUAGAAGCACGACAUAUUAGUGAUUCUUAUUUUUGUUUAUUUGUUUUAAGGAGUCGCCACCUAAUUAUUUACUGUGAAUUAGGACACCUAAAGUUAAUUAAAGUAUUUAUCUAAAGUUGAUUUUGUUUUAAAGUCUACGAAACCAAAUGAUUCUAGGUAAGGGUUCGAUUAGUCUAAAGGAAAGGUAUUAGGCAUCCUUUAAGACCCAUUAACAAUGGUUAACCGACCGGACUUAAAUUUAAUUAGGCUAAGUGUAAAUUGUAAAAAAUUAUGUAUUAACCUAUAAGAUAAUUGGUUUAAACUAAGAAUGGGAAUUAGUGUUUAAAAGCGAAAGGCAGUGACUAAAAUGUAUUGUGGGAUUUUAGCUUCUUGUUGACAAAACCUCUUUCUUCAUUGAGUAUGCUGGUCCUUCUAAUUACUCACAAAUAAUAGCCAAAUGUUAAAUUUUCUCCAAUAUGACUUAAUCAAGGUUGGACUUUCCUUAACUUCCAAUUUCCUUUAUUAAUCCUUUAUUCCUUGGUUUUGCAACUUGACAGUGUAUAUUCCUAAGGAGUUUCCGAAAUUUCGGAUAGCAGAAGUGAGGCUAUGUAUAUUCCUACCAUAAUUUAAUCACGGAUUCAAAGUUCUUACAACUAGAUACCAUAUUUCAUGUGAUAAAAAUGAAUAGCUACUAUCUAGAAGUGCUGGUUCUUUAUGCCAAAUAGCUUGAUUAAUAUUAGGUGUUCUCUAGAUAUCUAAACUGAUUUCGUUUAAUUUAUAAUGCCUCAAAUUCGGCCAGAUCACAGAAACAAACAGAGCCAACAAAUAUCUACGAUAAUCUUUGAAGAGGAA